GAUGAACGCUAGCGGCAGGCCUAAUACAUGCAAGCUGAACGGUAAAUAUUGUAGCAAUACGAUAUGAGAGUAGCGUAAGGGUGCGUAACACGUAUGCAAUCUGCCCCGUACAGGAGGAUAGCUCGGCGAAAGCCGGAUUAAUACUCCGUAAUAUUAUUGGAAGGCAUCUUUUGGUAAUUAAAGUCGCAAGACGGUACGGGAUGAGCAUGCGUCUGAUUAGCUAGUUGGUAGUGUAACGGACUACCAAGGCGAUGAUCAGUAGGGGAACUGAGAGGUUGAUCCCCCACACUGGCACUGAGAUACGGGCCAGACUCCUACGGGAGGCAGCAGUAGGGAAUAUUGGUCAAUGGAUGCAAGUCUGAACCAGCCACGCCGCGUGCAGGAAGAAGGCCUUCUGGGUUGUAAACUGCUUUUGCCGGGGGAUAAAAUUCCCAUGCGUGGGAAAUUGAAGGUACCCGGUGAAUAAGCCACGGCUAACUACGUGCCAGCAGCCGCAGUAAAAC
rnacentral:rRNA from 1 species